CUCCGGUUUGUCACCGGCAGUCUCCUUAGAGUGCCCACCCGAAGUGCUGGCAACUAAGGACAAGGGUUGCGCUCGUUGCGCCACUUAAGGCAACACCUCACGGCACGAGCUGACGACGGCCAUGCAGCACCUGUGUCCUGGUUCUCUUUCGAGCACCCCCACAUCUCUGCAGGGUUCCAGGCAUGUCAAGGGUAGGUAAGGUUCUUCGCGUUGCGUCGAAUUAAACCACAUGCUCCACCGCUUGUGCGGGCCCCCGUCAAUUCCUUUGAGUUUCAGCCUUGCGGCCGUACUCCCCAGGCGGGGCACUUACUGCGUUAGCGACGGCACCGGGAGGGUCGCUCCCCCCGACGCCUAGUGCCCAUCGUUUACGGCGUGGACUAC
rnacentral:misc_RNA from 1 species